rnacentral:rRNA from 1 species
UACGAAGGGUGCUAGCGUUGUUCGGAAUCACUGGGCGUAAAGCGCGCGUAGGCGGCGAUACAAGUCAGAGGUGAAAGCCUGGAGCUCAACUCCAGAAUUGCCUUUGAAACUGUAUUGCUAGAGUGUCGGAGGGGAUAGCGGAAUUCCUAAUGUAGAGGUGAAAUUCGUAGAUAUUAGGAGGAACACCGGUGGCGAAGGCGGCUAUCUGGACGACAACUGACGCUGAGGCGGCGAAAGCGUGGGGAUCAAACAGG